GGAUUGGUUUCGAGUUGUCAGUCAUACUGAGGAGACGUGGAUUCGUGAAGGACUGCUAGAAGAACAGACUGGAGAGCUGGUAACUGCAGUCGGCGCCAGUACCUGUUCCGAGGAAGAGGACAGUGACGAUUCUUCCCUUAGGGUCGCUCCACUUACACCAUAACUAUCACCAUGACGAGAGUCGAUUGCAACUUCCAGGACAAGGAUUUGACAACACAGCAUCUGAGAGCAUACAGUGCAAGAAAAUGUCAAUUAAACAAGAGAUUUUAUGACAAUUUGCAAAAAGGUUGGAAACCAAACUUUUCCAAUAUUAUGUCCAUGAAUUCCAUCCCUUCACAACCAUAACACUUACACAUCAAAUGAAACCAGAGACAUUCAAUACUUUGGGGCAAUGCUACAACAUUACUUGCAUCACACUGUGAAACCACAAGAGAAGCCUGAAGCAAGGGGUCAAUCAUAAUGAAAUGGAUACUAGACAUGAGAAAGCUAAAUCACAAGUAAACUGACUUGUAUUAAGAGUCGAAAUAGUUAGGAAAAAUGGAUGAAUACACUAGCCUGAUGACAACAAUGCAGUGCCUUUGAAGCAUACUCAUAGCAUCAACGAACCAUUAGUAUUACAGAUUAUAGACACUACCCCCCCCCCCCCCCCCCACACACACACACACACGCACGCACAACAAAUCAACAAUGUCAAACCAUAAAAAAAGUAAUUAAUUAAUGGGCACAAAAGUAUCAACAUUAACGUGCAAAAAAAGAAUAUAUUACAUAUUUUAUUUUUAAUUAUCUAAUAAAAUGCUAACUAUACUUCAGUAUAUGGUUACAAAAGAGAGAAAACCAUUUAUUAAUUUAGUUAUGACAACAUAUUACACUGAUAAUGUAAAUGUUACUACUAAUGAGUCACAGAUACUAGUCGAAGCUUAUCAGAUUAUUAAAGGAGGUAAUCAACAUUGAAGUUUGUCACAGACCUCAUUUUUGUUACUUUAUUUAAUUUUUGCAAAUAUUCGCUGUUAUGAUUUACAAGGACUUCAUAUACCACCAACAUUAUUCACUUUUUCAUCUCUGUUCAGUACAAUCUUCAUUUUUAUAGAGCUGUCCAGUUUUAACAUAUUUACUGUAACAAGGUAGUUCUUCAGAACAUUGGAGAUCUGUCAGCUGACGUCAUUUGACAGUAAUCUUAAGUACUUCACUAAAUAACACUAUGUCCACCAAUAGUAUGCACACAAGAUUUUUGACGUAUUACAUUCCACGAUUUUGAAUAGCUUUAUCAAAACCUCACACUUUUUGUAAAUUUAUUUAUGGUUUUUGUAACACAAUGAUUUGUUGUAUUGGUAAAAACAUUACAAUGCUUUUGAGCUUCUUAGAAAAGUGUCCCAUCACGGUAAUCUUUCCCACUUGGCAAGUCAUAAUAUCCAGUCACAAACAUCUAGGUUUUAUUUCUUCAUUUCAUUACCUUCGUACAUUAAUUUCCUCUGCAGAUACACCCAUUCCAUCUUGAACUUCAAUUAAAUUUCUUUUAAUGACAUAUGGAUUAUGUUUGUAUAUCCAGACGAGUGCGGAAAUGCCUUUGUAAGUAGAAUCUAUGUGUAAGGCAAUGUAAUAUAGUAAAAAAUAUUUCCAGAUUACAUA